rnacentral:rRNA from 1 species
GACGAACGCUGGCGGCGUGCUUAACACAUGCAAGUCGAACGGACAGGCCCUGCUCUUGUGGCGUGCUCGUUUGGCGAACGGGUGAGUAACACGUGAGUAACCUGCACUUGACUGUGGGAUAACUUUAGGAGACUGGGGCUCAUACCGGAUAGGAGCUCCUGCUGCAUGGUGUGGGUUGGAAAGUUACGGCGGUUGGGGCUGGAUUGGAGGGUUAUCAGCUUGUUGGUGGAGUAGUGGCUUACCAAGGCUUUGACGGCUAGCCGGCAUGAGAGGGUGACCGGCCACAAGGGGACUGAGGGAGGCCGCAGACGGCAACGUGAGGCAGUAGGGGGAAGUAUGGCACAGCGGGGGGAAGUGUGAGGCGACAGCGCUGGGAGCGGAAUGACGGCUUUCGGGGGGUGAACCGCUUUGGACUGUGCCGAAGCGUGAGUGACGGUAACUGGUAAAGAAGCACCGGCUAACUACGUG